rnacentral:ncRNA from 1 species
AGUUCCAAGGUGAGUAUUAUGUAGAUAUAUUUAUACAAUAUGUCAUAUCUACUAAUUAUAGAACAGGCCUUUUAGGCCAUGGCCACAUUGGGAUUGAGACACGGCCCAGACUUUUACAGGAGGCUAAGGAAUUUUUCUGCAAUGAGCGAAAGCCUAACGGGGCAAUGCCACAUGGAGGUAGAAGACCCACAGGUCGUGAACUUUUUUUCCAGAAGAAGAAAUAAUGACGGUAUUUGACAUAUUAGGAAUAACCACUCCAUACCAUGUAC